UAAUCAAGUUAAGCGCCAGAGCUUGCGUGAUGAACGAUCGGUUUUAAGCUGGAACUUUAAGCUUGAAGCGGGUGUUCAUACGGGAAGCUGACGAGGUGAAGGUGUUCGAAACAUUCGGCGGGGACCUUCCGGUAUUACAAGCCAACCGAAAGUCGUUACGUAAAACGUCCGGGCGACCGGUCAUACAAUCGUGCGACAGGCUUCUUA
rnacentral:ncRNA from 2 species